rnacentral:rRNA from 1 species
UUAUGAGAGUUUGAUCCUGGCUCAGGACGAACGCUGGCGGCGUGCCUAAUACAUGCAAGUCGUACGCUUUUUCUUUCACCGGAGCUUGCUCCACCGAAAGAAAAGGAGUGGCGAACGGGUGAGUAACACGUGGGUAACCUGCCCAUCAGAAGGGGAUAACACUUGGAAACAGGUGCUAAUACCGUAUAACAAUCGAAACCGCAUGGUUUUGAUUUGAAAGGCGCUUUCGGGUGUCGCUGAUGGAUGGACCCGCGGUGCAUUAGCUAGUUGGUGAGGUAACGGCUCACCAAGGCCACGAUGCAUAGCCGACCUGAGAGGGUGAUCGGCCACAUUGGGACUGAGACACGGCCCAAACUCCUACGGGAGGCAGCAGUAGGGAAUCUUCGGCAAUGGACGAAAGUCUGACCGAGCAACGCCGCGUGAGUGAAGAAGGUUUUCGGAUCGUAAAACUCUGUUGU